rnacentral:misc_RNA from 1 species
AAGUCGUAACAAGGUAACCGUAGGUGAACCUGCGGUUGGAUCAUUAAUAAAUCUAAAAGACCAAAGGUCUUUUUUAACAUCUUGUGUAUAGUAUAUCGUUUUUGAUGGGCGAAAGUCCUUGAAAAAUAAACUUUGUAUAUCAUUCGUCUAUAACUUUUAAUGAAUAAUUAAAAACAACUUUUGACAACGGAUCUCUAGGCUCUCA